rnacentral:rRNA from 1 species
UAAGACAGGCAUGCCACCCUGAACGCGCCCAAUCUCGUCUGAUCUCGAAGCUAAGCAGGGUUGGGCCUGGUUAGUCUUUGGAUGGGAGGACUCUGAACUAU